CUUCGAAAAAUUUAUCGUACGGUUCAUAAAGCGAAAAUUUUGCAGGAACAUUUUCAGAAUUCCGAAAAUGGGGUGUGCGGAAUCCCGCCUGCGUAAUAACGUAAAUAUUCUGGAGCAUUCCUGUUGCUGCUGCGAGGAAUGUGGGAAUUUGUCAUUCUUGUAGAAUAGAAAUGCGUGAGUGUCGCUGCGGACGGAGAACACAGACGACAGAGCUGGGAUGUCGGCGGCGGAAAAAAUAUGGACAUCCGGAAGGGAAAAAGCUGCGGGGAAAUGGAACUCGAAAAUAAAGUACACAAAGUAACCAGUGCUAGUUCACCUAGUGCUUUGACUUGUACGAUACCACAGUGGCUUUUGUGGAUGAAACUCUUGUGCGUCAGACCAGAUUACAGUGGAGCGUGUGUGCUACGUCGAGAAGAGAAUUGCAGGACUUGAAAAAUAUGUAACAAGAAGGAUUUUCGAUGCGUCAGAGCGAAGUGACAGCGAAGGUGCAGGCAGCGAAAAUGUUUAAAAACCUUCAAACGAGCUGUUGCAAGAUAUUAUGGCUGACAGGGUAGGAUCUGUGACGUCAUUGCUCUGUAAAAUCGCGCGCAAUAAAACAGAUUCAAGCGUUUCGUAUCCAGUCUGAAUGAUUCUUGUGACAGAACCCGUGGAAAUUCAACUGACACUUUUCAAUCGUGAAUUCUCUUUGAGAGUUCAUUGAAAUUGGUCAAAAAUAUCGAACAGUGCACAUCGUGACACGGUAGUUCAAGGAGUGAAUUUAGGUGGCACAGUUGAACGACUCAGCUUGUACAAAACGUAUCGAAACGUUAGCUUGAGAAUGAUCGUCGGGGAAAGUUCGUUGGCGACACGGAACGGAGAUGUCGAGGGUGAAAGGUUGCGUGUUGGCUCGGCCCGUGCCAUUUUCCAAAACUUCAACAUUCAGUGCCCUGUAAACCAUCGGAUCGAGGAGCUGAAAUUUUACAAGUCCGAAGAAAAAUCGAUAACUAUGCAGCGAAUUUUGUGUAAACUAACGCGUAACCGCUCCGCGCCACAAUCGAAAAAUUAAUGGUUGGUGAUUUGUAUUAUAUUAAAUUUACGAAGAUAUCAUGUUUCCUGUUUACACUAAAUCCAGCAACUUGGUGAAAUAUUUUCGAAUAGUGUAACAGAGAGCAUUAAAUUUAUACAUAAUUGAUCAAUAGCCAGUUGAAAAUGAUAUGUACGGUUUCCUUCGAUUGUUAAUUAAUUUUCCAGUAGCCUAAUAACAUGUUUUGCAAUUAUACACAAUGUUUAUACUUUAUGAAACUUGAAAGCUAGUGAAAAACUUUCA